rnacentral:piRNA from 1 species
UGAACAGCUGUCUCGACGUGUGGUGAA